GAUGAACGCUGGCGGCGUGCCUAACACAUGCAAGUCGAACGAUGAAACCGCCCUCGGGCGGACAUGAAGUGGCGAACGGGUGAGUAACACGUGACCAACCUGCCCCUUGCUCCGGGACAACCUUGGGAAACCGAGGCUAAUACCGGAUACUCCUCGCCCCCCUCCUGGGGGGCCCGGGAAAGCCCAGACGGCAAGGGAUGGGGUCGCGGCCCAUUAGGUAGUAGGCGGGGUAACGGCCCACCUAGCCCGCGAUGGGUAGCCGGGUUGAGAGACCGACCGGCCACAUUGGGACUGAGAUACGGCCCAGACUCCUACGGGAGGCAGCAGUGGGGAAUUUUGCGCAAUGGGGGCAACCCUGACGCAGCAACGCCGCGUGCGGGACGACGGCCUUCGGGUUGUAAACCGCUUUCAGCAGGGAAGAAAUUCGACGGUAC
rnacentral:rRNA from 1 species